rnacentral:rRNA from 1 species
GAUGAACGCUGGCGGCGUGCCUAAUACAUGCAAGUCGAGCGAACAGACGAGGAGCUUGCUCCUCUGACGUUAGCGGCGGACGGGUGAGUAACACGUGGAUAACCUACCUAUAAGACUGGGAUAACUUCGGGAAACCGGAGCUAAUACCGGAUAAUAUAUUGAACCGCAUGGUUCAAUAGUGAAAGACGGUUUUGCUGUCACUUAUAGAUGGAUCCGCGCCGCAUUAGCUAGUUGGUAAGGUAACGGCUUACCAAGGCAACGAUGCGUAGCCGACCCGAGAGGGUGAUCGGCCACACUGGAACUGAGACACGGUCCAGACUCCUACGGGAGGCAGCAGUAGGGAAUCUUCCGCAAUGGGCGAAAGCCUGACGGAGCAACGCCGCGUGAGUGAUGAAGGUUUUCGGAUCGUAAAACUCUGUUAUUAGGGAAGAACAAAUGUGUAAGUAACUAUGCACGUCUUGACGGUACCUAAUCAGAAAGCCACGGCUAACUACGUG